CCAGACCUCUACAUAGCCUACAUGUCUUCAUUUUGCUGAAGGUAAGGAAUUCUCAGUUGUGUUUAAUGUUUGCAUACGUACAAUAAAUUUUGUACACCUAAGUGGUUACAUACUGUCCUUUAAUAUUAAUUCUUCAUUCCAGACUGCCCAUCAUCCUAGCCUAUUAUCUGUGAUAAAGCACACUGAAGUUAGGUUUGGAAUGCAUCCUUAUCAUGAAUGCUCUACACCUCCACCUCCAUCUCCCACAACCUAGGUAACAGCUUUGAGACUCACUAAAAGUUGAGUCCCCUGAAUGAUGUAGGCUAUGGGGCCACAUAAGACUUUGUCCAUCCAGGGUUACAUUGAACGACAACUUUAAACUAAAAAACCAACAUUUUUCACACAACUCCAGGUUGUUACUAACAAAUUACUACAAGUGUCAUCAAGGGAUAACUACAAGUAGAAGCACCAUUUUUGGAUGGAAAAAACCCUUCAGGAAAGUAUACGUAUCACAUGUAACAUGUAGUGUAACAAAGUAUGAACAGUAAGGUUUUUACAUACAGUAGUAUUACAUACGUACAUAACUUUUUUUUACAGGAAUUUCCAACCAAGUUUGAUUAUGUACAUA